GGUUCUGUGAGGCUGAGUUGGUAGAGCAUGACGCUUGCAACGGAAAGGGCCGUGGGUUUGAUUCCCGCUGGGGCCA
rnacentral:tRNA from 1 species